rnacentral:rRNA from 1 species
UUUAAUUCGAUGCAACGCGAAGAACCUUUACCUGGUCUUGACAUCCACAGAACUUUCCAGAGAUGGAUUUGGUGCCUUCGGGAACUGUGAGACAGGUGCUGCAUGGCUGUCGUCAGCUCGUGUUGUGAAAUGUUGGGUUAAGUCCCGCAACGAGCGCAACCCUUAUCCUUUGUUGCCAGCGGUCCGGCCGGGAACUCAAAGGAGACUGCCAGUGAUAAACUGGAGGAAGGUGGGAUGACGUCAAGUCAUCAUGGCCCUUACGACCAGGGCUACACACGUGCUACAAUGGCGCAUACAAAGAGAAGCGACCUCGCGAGAGCAAGCGGACCUCAUAAAGUGCGUCGUAGUCCGGAUUGGAGUCUGCAACUCGACUCCAUGAAGUCGGAAUCGCUAGUAAUCGUGGAUCAGAAUGCCACGGUGAAUACGUUCCCGGGCCUU